rnacentral:piRNA from 1 species
UGAACUUGCUAAAGACGCUAGGGUUGGUC